GACGAACGCUGGCGGCGUGCCUAAUACAUGCAAGUCGAACGAAGCUUUUUUAACUGGUGCUUGCACCGACUUAAACAACUGAGUGGCGAACGGGUGAGUAACACGUGGGUAACCUGCCCCAAAGCGGGGGGUAACAUUUGGAAACAGAUGCUAAUACCGCAUAACAACAGAAACCACAUGGUUUCUGUGUCAAAGAUGGUUUCGGCUAUCACUUUGGGAUGGACCCGUGGCGUAUUAGCUAGUUGGUAAGGUAAUGGCUUACCAAGGCAAUGAUACGUAGCCGAACUGAGAGGUUGAUCGGGCGCAUUGGGACUGAGACACGGCCCAAACUCCUACGGGAGGCAGCAGUAGGGAAUCUUCCACAAUGGACGAAAGUCUGAUGGAGCAACGCCGCGUGAGUGAAGAAGGUUUUCGGAUCGUAAAACUCUGUUGUCAGAGAAGAACGUGUGCGAGAGUAACUGUUCGUGCAGUGACGGUAUCUGGCCAGAAAGCCACGGCUAACUACGUGCCAGCCGCCGCCGUAA
rnacentral:rRNA from 1 species